GUUGGUAGGUAGGUUGGUUGGUUGGUUGGUUGGUAGGUAGGUUGGUUGGUUGGUUGGAUGGUUGGUAGGUUAGUUGAUAGGUUGGUUGAUUGGUUGGUUGGUUGGUUGGUUGAUAGGUUGGUUGGCUGGUUGGUUGGUUGGUAGGUAGGUUGGUUGAUAAGUGGCUGGUUGGUUGGUUGGUUGGUUGGUUGAUAGGUUGGUUGGUUGGUUAGUUUGGUUGAUAGGUUGGUUGGUUGAUUGGUUGGUUGGUUGGUUUGGUUGAUAGGUUGGUUGGUUGGUUUGGUACUGGGGAUGAAGCCAUGCCAGGAAAAUGUGUUACCAAACUAUAACCCCAGCCCCAUCCGAUAUUGAUUUGCAAUUUUAAAAUUACAUGUACGUAUGUAUAUUUGUAUGUAUGUGUGUAUAUGUAUGUAGCAACAGUUCCAGAGUGGAGGUCAGAGGACAACUCGUGAGAGUUGAUUCUCCUACCUUUUGAAUUCUAGAGAUGGGAUUCAAGUUAUCAGGCUUGGAUACACCUUUACUCCUGAUCAUCUCCUGAGCCCUUCUUCCCCAUUAAAUACUAAGUAUUAAUUGUGUGUGUGUGUGUGCACAGCACUUGAAAGAGCAUUUGGGGGUACAUGUAUCUUGGAGGAUGACUCUGUGAUCUGUGGCUAAGUGGAAGUACAGUCAGGACAGAGAAAGCCUUCGUUAGGGUGGCAUGGGAGCAGCCGUCAUUCGUUCAUUCACUCAGCAAGCAGUAAGCAGGUCUAUCAGGUCCUCUUGGGAGUAUUCAGGGUGUUCCCGUGAAUCCUAACCUACACCUUCCUCAGGACAAGCAGAGGAGCUGAGUAAGGUUCAUAGCGUGCCGAGGGGUGAUGGAAGUGUAUGUGGCUGUGAUAGGUAGGAAGAGAUCUGGACGAGGUAGCAGGCAAGCAUGCGGCUCUGGAGGAAAGAUGUGCCAGCAGACAGUGGAGUGC
ensembl:lncRNA